GCACUCGCUUAGGCAGCACAUAUACUAAAAUUGGAACCAUACAGAGAAGAUUAGCAUGGCCCCUGUGCAAGGAUGACAUGGAAAUUUAUGAAGCGUUCCAUAUUUUU